CCCCUCGUAGUUCAACGGAUAGAACGCGAGCUUGCGGAGCUCGUAAUGUAGGUUCGAUUCCUGCCGAGGGGA
rnacentral:tRNA from 1 species